rnacentral:sRNA from 1 species
GCAUUUAUACACCCGACGUCCGAUCUCC